GGCUUUGUAGCUCAGCUGGUACAGCGCUCGCCGCGUUGAGGCGUGCUGUUCAUGUCGCUGGUUCGAAUCCAGUCAAAGUUC
rnacentral:tRNA from 1 species